rnacentral:rRNA from 1 species
AGUAACACGUGGAUAACCUACCUAUAAGACUGGGAUAACUUCGGGAAGCCGGAGCUAAUACCGGAUAAUAUUUUGAACCGCAUGGUUCAAAAGUAAAAGACGGUCUUGCUGUCACUUAUAGAUGGAUCCGCGCUGCAUUAGCUAGUUGGUAAGGUAACGGCUUACCAAGGCAACGAUGCAUAGCCGACCUGAGAGGGUGAUCGGCCACACUGGAACUGAGACACGGUCCAG